UACGGGGGGGGGCAAGCGUUGUUCGGAAUUACUGGGCGUAAAGGGCUCGUAGGCGGCCAACUAAGUCAAACGUGAAAUCCCUCGGCUUAACCGGGGGAACUGCGUCUGAUACUGGAUGGCGUUGAGUUUGGGAGAGGGAGUGCGGAAUUCCAGGUGUAGCGGUGAAAUGCGCAGAUAUCAGGAGGAACACCCGUGGCGAAAGCGGCUCUCUG
rnacentral:rRNA from 1 species